UGGCCAGAGUGGCCAGAUGGAGGAACAGCCAGAAGACCAGCAUCACUGGAUGGAGGGGGAUCAAACUUUUACCCUGAGGAGUGAUUUAGCUUCAAUCCAGGAAUUUGGGCAUAUAUCUAGAGGUCUAGAAGAGAUCUGAAUCUUGCUGGAAGCCAGAGAAUGAUGGAGGUGGUGGUGGUGGUGGUGGAGGUGUGG